ACGGAAGGCAGCAGUGGGGAAUAUUGGGCAAUGGGCGAAAGCCUGACCCAGCGACGCCGCGUGAGCGAAGAAGGUCUUCGGAUUGUAAAGCUCUGUUGACAGGGACGAAGAAGUGACGGUACCUGUCGAGGAAGCCACGGCUAACUACGUGCCAGCAGCCGCGGUAAUACGUAGGUUGCAAGCGUUGUCCGGAUUUACUGGGUGUAAAGGGCGUGUAGGCGGAGCUGCAAGUCAGAUGUGAAAUCCCGGGGCUCAACCCCGGAACUGCAUUUGAAACUGUAGCCCUUGAGUAUCGGAGAGGCAAGCGGAAUUCCUAGUGUAGCGGUGAAAUGCGUAGAUAUUAGGAGGAACACCAGUGGCGAAGGCGGCUUGCUGGACGACAACUGACGCUGAGGCGCGAAAGCGUGGGGAGCAAACAGGAUUAGAUACCCUGGUA
rnacentral:rRNA from 1 species